CCGGCGGCGUGCCUAAUACAUGCAAGUCGAACGAGUUCUGAUUAUUGAAAGGUGCUUGCAUCUUGAUUUAAUUUUGAACGAGUGGCGGACGGGUGAGUAACACGUGGGUAACCUGCCCUUAAGUGGGGGAUAACAUUUGGAAACAGAUGCUAAUACCGCAUAAAUCCAAGAACCGCAUGGUUCUUGGCUGAAAGAUGGCGUAAGCUAUCGCUUUUGGAUGGACCCGCGGCGUAUUAGCUAGUUGGUGAGGUAACGGCUCACCAAGGCAAUGAUACGUAGCCGAACUGAGAGGUUGAUCGGCCACAUUGGGACUGAGACACGGCCCAAACUCCUACGGGAGGCAGCAGUAGGGAAUCUUCCACAAUGGACGCAAGUCUGAUGGAGCAACGCCGCGUGAGUGAAGAAGGCUUUCGGGUCGUAAAACUCUGUUGUUGGAGAAGAAUGGUCGGCAGAGUAACUGUUGUCGGCGUGACGGUAUCCAACCAGAAAGCCACGGCUAACUACGUGCCAGCAGCCGCGGUAAUACGUAGGUGGCAAGCGUUAUCCGGAUUUAUUGGGCGUAAAGCGAGCGCAGGCGGUUUUUUAAGUCUGAUGUGAAAGCCCUCGGCUUAACCGAGGAAGUGCAUCGGAAACUGGGAAACUUGAGUGCAGAAGAGGACAGUGGAACUCCAUGUGUAGCGGUGAAAUGCGUAGAUAUAUGGAAGAACACCAGUGGCGAAGGCGGCUGUCUGGUCUGUAACUGACGCUGAGGCUCGAAAGCAUGGGUAGCGAACAGGAUUAGAUACCCUGGUAGUCCAUGCCGUAAACGAUGAAUGCUAGGUGUUGGAGGGUUUCCGCCCUUCAGUGCCGCAGCUAACGCAUUAAGCAUUCCGCCUGGGGAGUACGACCGCAAGGUUGAAACUCAAAGGAAUUGACGGGGGCCCGCACAAGCGGUGGAGCAUGUGGUUUAAUUCGAAGCAACGCGAAGAACCUUACCAGGUCUUGACAUCUUUUGAUCACCUGAGAGAUCAGGUUUCCCCUUCGGGGGCAAAAUGACAGGUGGUGCAUGGUUGUCGUCAGCUCGUGUCGUGAGAUGUUGGGUUAAGUCCCGCAACGAGCGCAACCCUUAUGACUAGUUGCCAGCAUUUAGUUGGGCACUCUAGUAAGACUGCCGGUGACAAACCGGAGGAAGGUGGGGAUGACGUCAAAUCAUCAUGCCCCUUAUGACCUGGGCUACACACGUGCUACAAUGGAUGGUACAACGAGUUGCGAGACCGCGAGGUCAAGCUAAUCUCUUAAAGCCAUUCUCAGUUCGGACUGUAGGCUGCAACUCGCCUACACGAAGUCGGAAUCGCUAGUAAUCGCGGAUCAGCACGCCGCGGUGAAUACGUUCCCGGGCCUUGUACACACCGCCCGUCACACCAUGAGAGUUUGUAACACCCGAAGCCGGUGGCGUAACCCUUUUAGGGAGCGAGCCGUCUAAGGGGACAAAAAU
rnacentral:rRNA from 1 species